rnacentral:tRNA from 1 species
UGUCUUGUAGUAUAUUACGUGUAAUACUAUAAACUGCAACUUUAUCGAAGCCAACAGCGCCAAGACAU